rnacentral:rRNA from 1 species
ACUUAAAUUGAAGAGUUUGAUCAUGGCUCAGAUUGAACGCUGGCGGCAGGCCUAACACAUGCAAGUCGAGCGGAAACGGCAGUAUUGAAGCUUCGG